rnacentral:lncRNA from 1 species
AGCCCGCCUGGCGCGCGGGGCUCUGCGCGCUGCGACCCUCCCCGGCAGUCCCGCCCGCCUCUCCUCGCCCUCUCUCUGCCUGGCCUCCAACUUUGCCUCUCGCUAUCCUCUCCGCCGGCGCCCCCUUUCCCGGCGGUCCCCGGGAUGGUCCCCGGCACCCCGAGGACGCCGAGGUUACGGGAAGUUCGGGGACUGGCGGGAGAAGGGGUUUGGGGGUGGUCCGCGGCGAGGGGCGCGGGGUGCAUCUUCUCUUCCUUUUAUGGGCUGCCACACUUGUGUAUCCCUUCUUCCUUGAAUUUAACCAGGAGUGAGCAGUGGACAGCUUCUUCCCUAUGAGAAGGAGGUGAAGCAGGACCUGAAAUCCCGUGCUCAGCUCCCACAUGCCCCGUGUCCAGGACAAGUCCUUUGCUGAAUCAGCGGCAGACACCACCCGGAGCCCUGCGGGAGCCUUUCCCUGUUCUUCCAGCAUGGAUCUGAAACUCCCUUCCCACUUUCUGCAGCCUCCCAGAGAUAGUUCAGGCUCCAGCCUCAUGUGAUAGCAUGAAGAGAAACUGGUUCCAACAGCUGUGUGCUCUGCUGCCCUCAUCCCAAACAACAGUUUAAAUGCACAAUUACGCUUUUCUCUAAGGCCCAAAAUAGGAUAGGAAAGAUCGUUUUGCUAUCCCUGAAUGCCUGUCACCCUUGUUUCGUAAGGAAGUCAGUCCCAGAAUAGUUGUUCUGCUCCCUCCCUUCUAAUAAGUGCUGCGCUGAGUGUGCUUGCUUUGCCAGAUGGUUAAAACAGAGCAGGGGAUAGAAGGACAGAUGUCUUCACCCUCAUGGAGUUCACCUUCCAGUAGGAGGAGGCGAUAGGCCGGGGUCUGCACAUGUGCGUGCUACAGCCUGUUCCACGGUGCGUGGCGUGCGGGGCAGUAGAGACAGGAUUUCACCAUGUUGGCUAGGAUGGUCUCGAUCUCCUGACCUUGUGAUCCGCCCCUCCCUCAGCCUCCCAAAGUGCUGGGAUUACAGGCGUGAGCCACUGCACCCUGCCAGAAAACUCAUUCUUCUACUCCAUCCUACAGUUUUCCCUAAGAGAGAAACAAUAAAACGCCACCACGACCAAUGGCAAAAAGCUGGCACCCACUCCACGACUUUUCAUAUCUACACGUUUGUACAGCUUUAUUUUUAAGCAUUCUGAAAUUCUAUGCAGGAGAGACCCCAGCUAGGUUUAGGGAGUCCUAGGGUUUGUGGAGUAAAUGAAGUUUCUCCCUAGAAUUAGGGAGGGUAGAGACAGGCAGAGAACUGACAAUCCUAACAGCUGCUGUCCUCAGAGCCACUGUUUCUGAGAGCUGCUCGCUGAGUGCUUCUAGCGAGUUAAAUGGUGUUCGCCCAAAAGACCUGUUCACGUCCUGAUCCUGGGAACCUGUGGCUGUGAUCUUAUUUGGAAAAAGCUCUACAUUACGUCUUUGCAGAAGUAAUCAUGUUAAGGAUCUUGAGAGGACGUGACCCUGAAUUAUCCGGCUGUGCUUGACAUCCAAUGACUGGUGAUGUUGUAAGAGAAAGACGGAGGGAGAUGUAAGAUAUGAGAGAAGGCCACGCCGAGACUGGAGUGAUGUGGCCGUGAGCCGAGGAAUGCCUGGAGCCACCAGAAGCUGGCAAAGGCAGAAGGAGCCUCCUCUGGACCCUGUGGUGGGUACGCAGCCUGGCAGAUAUAUUCAUUUUGGACUUCUGGCCUCCAGGGCUGUGAGAGAAUACAUUUCUGCAGUUUUAAGCCACGCAAUCUGUGUCCCUGGGAAGCCCAAAUAGGGCGAGACCUUUUGCCAAGUGGUCUCCAAGUGUCACGUCAUCGAAUCCUUCUCCCGGGCUUGUGCCAUAGUCUUUCCACUUUAGAGAGGAGGAAACGGAGGCUCUGGGGCACAAAGCCAGUCAGUGGCGGGGCCUGACUUUCAACCCAGCCUGCAUGGGGUCAGAGAACCCACUUUCCCCGUGGGGCCUGCGGCCUAUGCUAAGGAUGCUUGUUCAUCUCUCCUGGGCCCGGGAGUGGUUCUUCUGGCCUAGAAGGCAAGAGAAGCCAGUCUUUCGGUUUCAAGGUUUCCCAUUAGUGGAGUCAAGCAAAAAUGGUGUGUUGCGCUUCUUCCUGAGCUCAGCCUGGGAGCACGGCCUUAACAUGCUCAGUGGAUCCCAAGACGGCAGCAUGGCGGUGCCAGCCUGGCAGCCUUAGCUCCUUGCAGCUGUGCUUGUGAAGGGAGCAGUGAGUGGCUUCCCUCUGUGACCACCUUGGGUCCUAAGUUUCACUGGGGCUGGGAUCCAUGCGUCUUGCAAUUGGCUAGGAAUUUCCCGGGCUUUCCCUCCCUUCCCUGUUCAGGGCACUGGGUGUGAGGCAUUGCAUCCGUUCUUCUGCUCACCUGCUUCCCCCUAAGAGUGUGAGCUGUAUAAAGGCAGGAACCAAACAGGAGCCUCCACGUGUUCCCAGUUCAAGGGCAGUGUCCCUUGUGUGUUUCUUCAAUAAUUCAGUGGAUGACUUAUUCUGCACGGACACUGCACACACUCGGCCCUGCCGUCUCCGGAGCUGGGAGGUGUGGAGCUGGCUCCUGACCUAUUUACACACUGAGGAGGGAUGUGGAAAACAGGAGGAGUCCCAGGGCUCCAAUGCAAAGAGGAGCCUCUUCAUUCCCUCUGCCGUGGCCGUGCAAGGGACAGCGCCUUGUGGGAUUGUGUCCUCCACCCAAUUAUCCUUAGCAUUAGUUUGCUAAGGAUAAUGGCCUCCAGCUCCACCCAUGUCCCUGCAAAGGACAUGAUCUCAUUCCUUUCUGUGUCUGCAUAGUAUUCCAUGGUGUAUAUGUACCGCGUUUUCUUUAUCGAGUCUAUCAUUGAUGGGCGCUUCAGUUGAUUCCAUGUCUUUGCUACUGUGACUCGUGCUGCAAUGAGCAUUCGCGUGCAUGCCUU